ensembl:snRNA U1 U1 spliceosomal RNA
AGACUUACCUGGCAGGGGAAAUGUCAUGAUCACGGGGGUGGUUUUCCCAGGGCCAGGCUCACCCAUUGCACUGUGGGUGCGCUGACCCUCUGCGAUUUCCCCAAAUGUGGGAAACUCAGCUGCGUAAUUUGUGGUAGCGGGGGACUGCAUCCGUGCCCUCCUUAA